rnacentral:rRNA from 1 species
UACGUAGGGUCCGAGCGUUGUCCGGAAUUAUUGGGCGUAAAGGGCUCGUAGGCGGUUUGUCACGUCGGGAGUGAAAACUCAGGGCUCAACCCUGAGCGUGCUUCCGAUACGGGCAGACUAGAGGUAUGCAGGGGAGAACGGAAUUCCUGGUGUAGCGGUGGAAUGCGCAGAUAUCAGGAGGAACACCGGUGGCGAAGGCGAGUCCCUGGACAACACCUGACACUGAGGCACGAAAGCUAGGGGAGCAAACAGG